rnacentral:rRNA from 1 species
UGGGGAAUUUUACACAAUGGGGGAAACCCUGAUGUAGCGACACCGCGUGAACGAAGAAGCCUUUUGGGGUGUAAAGUUCUGUCGGCUGGAACGAAAAAAUGACGGUACCAGCAAAGGAAGCAUCGGCUAACUACGUGCCAGCAGCCGCGGUAAGACGUAGGAUGCAAGCGUUGUCCGGAUUUAUUGGGCGUAAAGAGUUCGUAGGCGGUUAUUUAAGUCUGAUGUUAAAUACUGUGGCCCAACCACAGAACUGCAUUGGAUACUGGAUGACUUGAGUGCGGUAGAGGCAAGUGGAAUUCCCAGUGUAGCGGUGAAAUGCGUAGAUAUGCGGAGGAACACCGAUGGCGAAGGCAAUCCCCUGGACCUGUACUGACGCUCAUGCACGAAAGCGUGGGGAGCAAACAGGAUUAGAUACCCCUGUAGUCCCUGAGCGGGCUGGCAAGGCGCAU